rnacentral:rRNA from 1 species
AGUGAACGCUGGCGGUAGGCCUAACACAUGCAAGUCGAACGGCAGCACAGUAAGAGCUUGCUCUUACGGGUGGCGAGUGGCGGACGGGUGAGGAAUACAUCGGAAUCUACUUUUUCGUGGGGGAUAACGUAGGGAAACUUACGCUAAUACCGCAUACGACCUACGGGUGAAAGCAGGGGAUCUUCGGACCUUGCGCGAUUGAAUGAGCCGAUGUCGGAUUAGCUAGUUGGCGGGGUAAAGGCCCACCAAGGCGACGAUCCGUAGCUGGUCUGAGAGGAUGAUCAGUCACACUGGAACUGAGACACGGUCCAGACUCCUACGGGAGGCAGCAGUGGGGAAUAUUGGACAAUGGGCGCAAGCCUGAUCCAGCCAUACCGCGUGGGUGAAGAAGGCCUUCGGGUUGUAAAGCCCUUUUGUUGGGAAAGAAAAGCAGCAGGUUAAUACCCCGCUGUUCUGACGGUACCCACAGAAUAAGCACCGGCUAACUUCGUG